rnacentral:misc_RNA from 1 species
UUGUCAUCGUAAAACGUUAUCAGGUAGUUCUUCAUUUGUUGCUGUUAAGCCUCCCAAAGCUUACGGCUUGUCUUCUCAGAGAAAGCAAAUGCCAUUACCGAGCAUUCCGUCUUGUAAACAGAAGCUUGCAGAACCCGUGCAGCAAUCCCAAUCAGAGUUUAUUCAGACCCAUGAUAUGCAAACUACACGGUGCCCCACAAAGCAUGGUAAGCAGAA